GGUCUCCAGAUGGUGAUGGCGUUGGAAACAGCUACAUUGAAGAUAAUGAUGAUGACAGCAAAAUGGCAGAUCUCUUGUCCUACUUCCAGCAGCAACUCACAUUUCAGGAGUCUGUGCUUAAACUGUGUCAGCCUGAGCUUGAGAGCAGUCAGACUCACAUAUCAGUGUUGCCAAUGGAGGUCCUGAUGUACAUCUUCCGAUGGGUGGUGUCUAGUGACUUGGACCUCAGAUCAUUGGAGCAGUUGUCGCUGGUGUGCAGAGGAUUCUACAUCUGUGCCAGAGACCCUGAAAUAUGGCGUCUGGCCUGCUUGAAAGUUUGGGGCAGAAGCUGUAUUAAACUUGUUCCGUACACGUCCUGGAGAGAGAUGUUUUUAGAACGGCCUCGUGUUCGGUUUGAUGGUAAGUUGGAUUCUGUAGAACUCAGCAGAAAUACUGAUCUAUAAUGCUGAUUUUUAUAAAUACGCCGUUUAAAUUUUCUGUGAUGAACGUGAGUACUGUAAGCAUGUUUAAAGGAAACCACAGUAAAUAUAAUGCUGGGAAUAU
rnacentral:sRNA from 1 species